rnacentral:rRNA from 1 species
GGUAUAAGAUGGACCCGCGUUGGAUUAGCUUGUUGGUGGGGUAACGGCCCACCAAGGCGACGAUCCAUAGCCGGCCUGAGAGGUUGAUCGGCCCACAUUGGGACUGAGACACGGCCCAGACUCCUACGGGAGGCAGCAUG